AGUGAACGCUGGCGGUAGGCCUAACACAUGCAAGUCGAACGGCAGCACAGUAAGAGCUUGCUCUUACGGGUUGCGAGUGGCGGACGGGUGAGGAAUACAUCGGAAUCUACUUUUUCGUGGGGGAUAACGUAGGGAAACUUACGCUAAUACCGCAUACGACCUACGGGUGAAAGCAGGGGAUCUUCGGACCUUGCGCGAUUGAAUGAGCCGAUGUCGGAUUAGCUAGUUGGCGGGGUAAAGGCCCACCAAGGCGACGAUCCGUAGCUGGUCUGAGAGGAUGAUAGGCCACACUGGAACUGAGACACGGUCCAGACGACUACGGGAGGCAGCAGUGGGGAAUAUUGGGCAAUGGGCGGAAGCAUGAUACAGCCAUAGCGCGUGGGUGAAGAAGGCCUUCGGGUUGUAAAGCCCUUUUGUUGGGAAAGAAAAGCAGCCGGUUAAUACCACGCUGUUCUGACGGUAACCAAAGAAUAAGCACCGGCUAACUUCGUG
rnacentral:rRNA from 1 species